AAAUACAAGUGAAACUUUACAAAUAGGGAGAGAGAACAAUGCCUUAAGUAGAGAAUGGCAAAUGUGGGAUGAAGAAAGUAAGAAAUGGUUAGGCCUAUUUAUAGUUGAGGUUCAAGGAUCAACUUGCAAUGUCCCUAUACAAUUAGGGACCAAAAUUGCAAUUUUCCCAUGCCAACUUUUAACCCAACUUGCCAACCAAUCUUACUUUCUACUUUCGGUGCCCACCCUUUUUGACUUUUCAAACAAUGGGUGGGUUCCAAUAAUCUCCACUUUGAAGAUUUGAUUAGGAUAAUCUUAUCUUGACAUAAUUCUUUCUGCCUUUGAAAACAAUACUUGAUAGUGCCUUCUUCAACUGUUAAACUUGCAGGAUAUUAAUCAAGUUCAAACAAUGUUCGAACUUGGUUGCUGUUACCACCUUGGUCAUCAUAUCUGCAGGAUUAUCUGCAGUCUUGAUCUUCUGAAGACAAAUUUUCCCCUCUUCAAUAAUUUCCCGCACAAAAUGGAAUCGUACGUCGAUAUGCUUUGUACGUGCAUGAUAGACUUGAUUCUUUGCUAAAUGAAUAGCACUUUGACUAUCACAAUACACGUUAAUAUGCUCCUGAACCAAUCCCAAUGUUUUAGCCAUACCUUGUAACCAAAUAGCCUCCUUUACAGUCUCUGUUACAGCCAUGUACUCGGCUUCUGUGGUUGACAACGCAACUGUAGACUGUAAUGUAGACUUCCAACUUAUUGGUCCUCAGCAAGUGUAAACACAUAACCAGUGGUUGAUCUUCGCUUGUCCAAAUCAUCGGUAUAGUCAGAAUCAACGUACCCAAUAACACCUUUACCGAGUGUAUUAUCCUGCUUGAACAGUAAUCCAACAUCCACGGUCUUCUGAAUAUACCGUAGAAUCCAUUUCACAGCUUGCCAAUGUCCUUUUCCAAGAUUAUGCAUAUACCUGCUCACUAUACUAACUGCCUGUGAAAUGUCGGGUCUUGUACACACCAUUGCAUACAUCAAGCUACCCACUGCAUUAGAAUACGGAACUUGCAACAUGUAUUCUCGUUCCGAAUUCGUCGAAGGAGAUAGUUGUGCAGAAAGCUUGAAAUGAGAAGCCAACGGGGUACUUACAGGUUUUGUCUGCUCGUUCAUGCCAAACUACUGUAGUACCUUCUUCAAAUACUACUUCUGAGACAAGCUAACUCUAUCAUGAGCUCUAUCUCUCCAUAUUUCCAUGCCGAGAAUCUUUUUAGCUUCUCCUAGAUCUUUCAUCUCAAACUCGAGAUUGAGUUGAGUCUUCAAUCUUUCAAUCUCAAUUUUGUUCUUAGAUGCUAUUAGCAUAUCAUCAACAUAUAAGAGCAAGUAUAUGAAAGUUCCUUCUUGUAGCUUCUAAAAAUAUACGCAAUGAUCAAAUUUACUUUUUGUGUACCUUUGCCCUUUCAUGAACUGAUCAAAUCAUUUGUACCACUGCCUCGGAGAUUUCUUCAAUCCAUAAAGCGAAUUUGUCAGUUUGCAAACCCAAUUUUCUUUUCCAGCAAUAUUGAAUCCAUCUGGCUGAGUCAUAUAGAUUUCCUCUUCCAAAUUACCAUGUAAAAAUGCAGUCUUCACAUCAAGUUGAACUAGUUCGAGAUCAUAUUGUGCAACCAAGGCUAGCAAAAUCCGUAUAGAUGAAUGCUUCACAACUGGAGAAAACACUUCAUUAUAGUCUAUUCCUUCUUUCUGAGCGUAACCCUUUGCUACCAAUCUAGCCUUGUAUCGAAUUUCAUUUUUACCAGGAAAUCCUUCCUUCUUUGUAUAUACCCAUUUGCAUCCAAUUGCCUUCUUUCCCUUGGGUAGUGUCACCAACUCCCAAGUCCUAUUUUUAUGAAGAGACUGCAUUUCUUCAUUCAUUGCUUGCUUCCACUUUACACCAUCAGGGUUACUUAUUGCUUUUGUGUAAAUGGAAGGAAUAUCAUCAUCUACAACUGGAAGUGCAUAGGCCACUAUAUCAUCAAAGCGAGCAAGCUUACGAAUCUCUCUUCUUGGCCUCCUAUAUGCAAUUGAAUCUUGUUGCUGUAGAGGUUCUUGGGUAGGAACCUCUUCAUCAUUUGUCCCUUCAAUAUUAGCUGGAUCAUCGUUAACCUUUUCAAGCUCCACCUGCUGCAAAGUACUACUGGUUUUGUCAUCAUUUUUUGAAUCCUUAUACUUCAACAUGGUUGAUUCAUCAAAAGUCACAUCUCUACUGAAAACAAUUUUCCUUGUAUUAGGACAUCAGAGACGGUAUCCUUUUACUCCAUCAGUUAUACCCCAGAAUAAUGCUUUCUUUGCUCUUGGGUCUAACUUAGAUUCUUUUACAUGAUAAUAUGCAGUGGAACCAAAUACAUGUAAAGAAUCAUAAUCAGUAGCAGAUUUACCAGUCCACAUCUCCAUAGGAGUUUUUCCAUUUAUUGCAGCUGAUGGCAAACGGUUAAUUAGAUGGCACGCAUAUGUAACUGCCUCACCCCAAAAUUCUUUGCCCAAUCCAGCAUUGGACAACAUACAUCGAACUUUCUUCAGUAUAGUUCGAUUCAUGCGUUCUGCCACCCUAUUCUACUGUGGUGUAUCCCGAACAGUGAAGUGUCGCACAAUGCCCUCAUCUUGGCAUACUUGUAGAAAUGGAUCGUUUUUGUACUCAGUACCAUUAUCUGAUCGAAGUCGUUUGACCUUUCGACCAGUCUGAGUCUCCACCAUCUUCUUCCAUUUCAGAAAUGCAUCCAAAACUUCACUUUUUCUUUUCAUUAGAUAUACCCAUACUUUUCUUGAAUAAUCAUCAACAAAAGUAACAAAAUAGUGCAUACCUCCCAAAGAAGCUAUUUUGGUAGGUCCCCACACAUCACUGUGAACGUAGUCCAAAAUUCCUUUCGUAUUGUGAAUUGCUGGACCAAAUUUUACCCUCUUCUGCUUGCCCAGAACACAAUGUUCAUAGAAUUCCAUUUUGCAAGAAUUUGCACCUUUCAAUAAGCCUUGCUUCACCAAUGUCUGCAAAGCUUUUUUAUCAGCAUGUCCCAAUCGCAUAUGCCAUAAUCUGGUAGCCUCUGAAUCUACAUCUUUUGUAGAAACUGUUGAUGUUGAUCCAAUAACUGUACUUCCAUUUAAAAAGUACAAGUUAUUUCUUCUUGUGCCUUUCAUUACCGUCAGUUUCCCAACUACUACUUUUAGUAAUCCAUCUCUCAAAGUGAUUGUGAGCCAUUUAGAUUCUAGGGCCCUUAAUGAGAUGAGAUUUUUCUUCAAGCUAGGUACGUAGCGAACAUCUGUCCAGACUUGGAUUGAGCCGUCGUGAUUCUUCAAUUGGACUGUUCCUACUCCCAUUGUCUUACAAGCACUAUCAUUGCCCAUAAGAACAAUUCCACCUUCUAGCUCUUUAAGACUAGAAAACCAGUCCUUAUUAUGACACAUAUGGUAAGUACAUCCUGAAUCCAAAAUCCACUCAUCCGUUUGACAUGCCAUUGCCAUGCCAACCAAGCUAAAGUCUGACUCCUUAUCAUGCUCCGCUACACAUGCAUUAGAAAUAGUCUUGCCCUUUUGUAACUUAGGACAAUUCUUUUUCUAAUGCCCUUUUUCACGGCAAAAAGCACAUUCAUCUUUGGCGGGUCUCCCUUUGGACUUUCCCCUUCUACCAGAUUUGCUGCUGUAUGAACGACCUCUUACUGUUAAAACUUCUGCAGUUGUAUCUCUGUGAUCUCUUUUAUCUUUCUUUCGAGUCUCAGAUCUAUACAACGCACUAUAGACUGCAUCAAAUGUGAUCGUGUCCUUCCCAUGAAGCAAUGUGGUGGUAAGAUGAUCAUAUUCAUCAGGAAGGGAAUUCAACAACAAUAAUGCAUUGUCUUCAUCUUCAAAUUUCUCAUCCAAAUUUAGCAAGUCUGCUAAAAUUUUAUUGAAUGAGUUCACAUGGUCAUUCAUCGACAUACCGGGUGCAUAUGUGAAUCAAUAAAGUUUCUUUUUCAUAUAAAGCCUAUUUUCAAGACUUUUCGUUAGAAACUUUUCUUCCAGUGUAUCCCAUAACUUCUUCGCUGAUGUCUCCCUCAUGACAGAGUACUUCUGCUCUUUGGCCAAACAUAGGCGAAUUGUACCACACACCUAUCUAUUGAUCUUGGCCCACUCCUUGUCAUCCAUCUUGUCAGGUUUUUCUUCAAGGGCUAUAUCUAGCUCUUGCUGAUAUAAGACAUCCAGGAUCUCACAUUACCACAUACCAAAAUUAUUGGUAUCGUCAAAUUUCUCUACUUCAAAUUUUGCAUUUGUCACAGUAGUCCUUGCUGAUGACGAUGCUGCUGCCAUUUUUCUCCUCAAUCCCAACUACUGUAUACGUGAACAAUACCGUAUACGUAAAUAGUAUCGUAUACGUGAAUAGUACCGUAAACGGUCGUAUUCCCCAAGUACGAAUCUGGCUCUGGUACCAAUUGUUGUGCGGAAGCGUGUGAAAGAGUAAAAAUAUUGUACUGAAAAAUCACACUAAGUUCAAUUUCCAGGAAAGAGAGGUGGAUCACGAGGAUCACUUAAGUACCAAGUCUUUCCUAGCUAGAAUAUCCCUCUAUCGUAAUUUAAUAGCACAAUAAAUCACUACAAUCACAUUCACAAAAUAUGAACAAUAUAUAGUAAAGAACACCAGAAUUUUAACGAGGUUCGGCAAAUCUUGCCUACGUCCUCGGGCACUACCAAAUAUAUUUCACUCCAAAAUACAAGUGAAACUUUACAAAUAGGGAGAGAGAACAAUGCCUUAAGUAGAGAAUGGCAAAUGUGGGAUGAAGAAAGUAAGAAAUGGUUAGGCCUAUUUAUAGUUGAGGUUCAAGGAUCAACUUGCAAUGUCCCUAUACAAUUAGGGACCAAAAUUGCAAUUAUCCCAUGCCAACUUUUAACCCAACUAGCCAACCAAUCUUACUUUCUACUUUCGGUGCCCACCCUUUUUGACUUUUCAAACAAUGGGUGGGUUCCAAUA
rnacentral:lncRNA from 1 species